rnacentral:rRNA from 1 species
AACGUAGGAGGCGAGCGUUAUCCGGAUUUACUGGGUGUAAAGCGCGUGCAGGCGGUGGAGUAAGUUAUGCGUGAAAGCGCCUGGCUCAACCGGGCGAGGACGUGUGAAACUACUCGACUAGAGGCAGGGAGAGGCGUGUGGAAUUCCGGGUGUAGUGGUGAAAUGCGUAGAGAUCCGGAGGAACACCAGUGGCGAAGGCGACACGCUGGGCCUGGCCUGACGCUCAGACGCGACAGCAUGGGGAGCGAACGGG